UCUAAGACAGGUGUUGCACGGCUGUCGUCAGCUCGUGUCGUGAGAUGUGCCCUUAAGUGGGUAAACGAGCGAAACCUGUGUCCUGUGUUGAUUUUCACGGGAGACUGCCCCGGUUUACGGGGAGGAAGGCGCAGACGACGUCAAGUCAGCGUGGCUCUUACACCCUGGGCUACACACGUGCUACAAUGGCAGAUCAUAAAGAGUUGCAAAGCCGCAAGGCCAAGCUAAUCUCAUAAAAGCUGCCUCAGUUCGGAUUGCAGGCUGCAACUCGCCUGCAUGAAGCCGGAAUCGCUAGUAAUCGCGGAUCAGCAUGCCGCGGUGAAUACGUUCCCGGGCCUU
rnacentral:rRNA from 1 species